rnacentral:rRNA from 1 species
AACAGGGAUUGCCUCAGUAGCGGCGAGUGAAGCGGCAAAAGCUCAAAUUUGAAAUCUGGCGUCUUUGGCGUCCGAGUUGUAAUUUGAAGAAGGGGUCUUUGGGCCCGGCUCUUGUCUAUGUCCCCCUUGGAACAGGACGUCACAGAGGGUGAGAAUCCCGUGCGAUGAGAUGACCCGGGUCUGUGUAAAGUUCCUUCGACGAGUCGAGUUGUUUGGGAAUGCAGCUCUAAGUGGGUGGUAAAUUCCAUCUAAAGCUAAAUAUUGGCGAGAGACCGAUAGCGAACAAGUACAGUGAUGGAAAGAUGAAAAGAACUUUGAAAAGAGAGUGAAAAAGUACGUGAAAUUGUUGAAAGGGAAGGGCUUGAGAUCAGACUUGGUAUUUUGCAUGCUGCUCUCUCGGGGGCGGCCGCUGCGGUUUACCGGGCCAGCAUCGGUUUGGAGCGGCAGGAUAAUGGCGGAGGAAUGUGGCACGGCUUCUGCUGUGUGUUAUAGCCUCUACGAUACUGCCAGCCUAGACCGAGGACUGCGGUUUUUACCUAGGAUGUUGGCAUAAUGAUCUUAAGUCGC